rnacentral:rRNA from 1 species
AGAACGAACGCUGGCGGCAUGCCUAACACAUGCAAGUCGAACGCUCUUGGGGCUUCGGUCUCAGGGGAGUGGCGCACGGGUGAGUAGCGCGUGGGAACCUGCCCUGUUGUGGGGGAUAACCGAGGGAAACUUCGGCUAAUACCGCAUAAGCCGGUUGUCUUGAAGGAGAUGGCCGGGAAAGAUUUAUCGCGACAGGAGGGGCCCGCGUCGGAUUAGCUAGUUGGUGGGUAACGGCCCACCAAGGCGGUGAUCCGUAGCUGGUCUGAGAGGAUGAUCAGCCACACUGGGACUGAGACACGGCCCAGACUCCUACGGGAGGCAGCAGUGGGGAAUCUUGCACAAUGGGCGAAAGCCUGAUGCAGCGACGCCGCGUGCGGGAUGACGGCCUUCGGGUUGUAAACCGCUUUCAGCAGGGACGAUAGUGACGGUACCUGCAGAAGAAGCCCGGCAACUACGCGCCAGCAGCCGC